GUGGAGAUGGCCCAGCCUGGUAAGGCGUCAGACUGCUAAUCUGAUGUCCUAUGGACUCGGGGGUUCGAAUCCCCCUCUCCACGCCA
rnacentral:tRNA from 1 species